rnacentral:rRNA from 1 species
ACGGGUGCGUAACGCGUAUGCAACUUGCCUCACAGAGGGGGAUAACCCGUCGAAAGACGGACUAAUACCGCGUACACUUAUCGGAGGGCAUCCUUCGGUAAGGAAAAGAAAUUCGCUGUGAGAUAGGCAUGCGUCCCAUUAGCUAGUUGGUGAGGUAACGGCUCACCAAGGCGACGAUGGGUAGGGGAACUGAGAGGUUGAACCCCCACACUGGUACUGAGACACGGACCAGACUCCUACGGGAGGCAGCAGUGAGGAAUAUUGGUCAGUGGGCGAGAGCCUGAACCAGCCAAGUCGCGUGAAGGAUGACUGUCUUAUGGAUUGUAAACUUCUUUUGUAGGGGAAUAAAGAGGGGCACGUGUGCCUCAGUGAAUGUACCCUACGAAUAAGCAUCGGCUAACUCCGUGCCAGCAGCCGCGGUAAUACGGAGGAUGCGAGCGUUAUCCGGAUUUAUUGGGUUUAAAGGGUGCGUAGGCGGCCUGUUAAGUCAGCGGUGAAAUCUAGGAGCUUAACUCCUAAAUUGCCAUUGAUACUGGCGGGCUUGAGUGUAGAUGAGGUAGGCGGAAUGCGUGGUGUAGCGGUGGAAUGCAUAGAUAUCACGCAGAACUCCGAUUGCGAAGGCAGCUUACUAAGGUACAACUGACGCUGAAGCACGAAAGCGUGGGUAUCAAACAGGAUUAGAU